rnacentral:rRNA from 1 species
GAGAACUUUCCAGAGAUGGAUUGGUCCCUUCGGGAACUCAGACACAGGUGNUGCAUGGCUGUUGUCAGCUCGUGUCGUGAGAUGUGGGGUUAAGUCCCGUAACGAGCGCAACCCUUGUCCUUAUUUCCCAGCACUUAGGUUGGGCACUCUAGGGAGACUGCCGGUGACAAACCGGAGGAAGGUGGGGAUGACGUCAAGUCAUCAUGGCCCUUACGNCCAGGGCUACACACGUGCUACAAUGGCCGGUACAAAGGGUUGCCAANCNGCGAGGGGGAGCUAAUCCCAUAAACCCGUUCGUAGUCCGGAU